rnacentral:rRNA from 1 species
AUUGAACGCUGGCGGCAUGCUUUACACAUGCAAGUCGAGCGGCAGCGCGGGGGCAACCCUGGCGGCGAGCGGCGAACGGGUGAGGAAUACAUCGGAACGUACCCCGGAGUGGGGGAUAACGCCGCGAAAGCGGCGCUAAUACCGCAUAUGCUCUGUGGAGGAAAGUGGGGGACCCGCAAGGACCUCACGCUCUGGGCGCGGCCGAUGUCCGAUUAGCUAGUUGGUGAGGUAAUGGCUCACCAAGGCGACGAUCGGUAGCUGGUCUGAGAGGAUGAUCAGCCACACUGGGACUGAGACACGGCCCAGACUCCUACGGGAGGCAGCAGUGGGGAAUUUUGGACAAUGGGGGCAACCCUGAUCCAGCCAUGCC